rfam:Oryza rufipogon genomic scaffold, chr03
AAAAAAGCAAACUCUGGGUUUUCGUGUCGAACUUUGACUGUCCGUCUUAUAUGAAAUUUUUUUAUAAUUUGAAUUUUCAUUGUUGUUAGAUGAUAAAACAUGAUUAAUAUUUUAUGCGUGACUUGUCUUUUUAAUUUUUUUCAUAAUUUUUUCAAAUAAGACGGACGGUCAAACGUUGUACAUGGAAACCCGGGUUUGUCUUUUUU